AACAAAAAGUGAGCAUGUGAAGUACAUCAUGGGAUGAUUUCCUCCUGUUGUCUGAGAGAAUAGGCACAUCUCUGCGUUGUGAACUCAGAUGCAUUCUCUGCAUUUCCCACCGAACUUUCUCAAGCUCAUCUGUCAAUCUGUGGACAUUCUAUUUCAGAACCGUCUGGCAUCCUCCUGCAAAUAAGAUCUUCAUGAAAAUCCAGAGCCCUUUCAUGCCUCAAGAGUCCAGAGCAAACAGCCAGCUGGCAAAAUGA
rnacentral:lncRNA from 1 species